GCUCUUUGGCAGCACACAUACUAAAAUUAGAAUGAAAAAGAGAAGAUUUGCAUGGCCCCUGCACAAGGAUAACAUGCAAAUUUGUGAUGCAUUCCAGAUUUUU
rnacentral:snRNA from 1 species